rnacentral:rRNA from 1 species
GAUGAACGCUGGCGGCGUGCCUAAUACAUGCGAGUCGAGCGAACGGACGAGAAGCUUGCUUUUCUGAUGUUAGCGGCGGACGGGUGAGUAACACGUGGAUAACCUACCUAUAAGGCUGGGAUAACUUCGGGAAACCGGAGCUAAUACCGGAUAAUAUUUUGAACCGCAUGGUUCAAAAGUGAAAGACGGUCUUGCUGUCACUUAUAGAUGGAUCCGCGCUGCAUUAGCUAGUUGGUAAGGUAACGGCUUACCAAGGCAACGAUGCAUAGCCGACCUGAGAGGGUGAUCGGCCACACUGGAACUGAGACACGGUCCAGACUCCUACGGGAGGCAGCAGUAGGGAAUCUUCCGCAAUGGGCGAAAGCCUGACGGAGCAACGCCGCGUGAGUGAUGAAGGUCUUCGGAUCGUAAAACUCUGUUAUUAGGGAAGAACAUAUGUGUAAGUAACUGUGCACAUCUUGACGGUACCUAAUCAGAAAGCCACGGCUAACUACGUG